GACGUAGGGCGCGAGCGUUGUCCGGAUUUAUUGGGCGUAAAGAGCUCGUAGGCGGCUUGUCGCGUCGACUGUGAAAACCCGCGGCUUAACCGCGGGCUUGCAGUUGAUACGGGCAGGCUAGAGUUCGGUAGGGGGGACUGGAAUUCCUGGUGUAGCGGUGAAAUGCGCAGAUAUCAGGAGGAACACCCGUGGCGAAAGCGGCUCUCUGGAACGGUACUGACGCUGAGACGCGAAAGCGUGGGGAGCGAACAGG
rnacentral:rRNA from 1 species